GUACUUGGCAAGGAGUGGAAAUGCAAAUUCACCAAGUUUCUCCCUCACUCAGCUAUAAAAGACUUCCCCUGACCGUAUCCUUUACCACAGAUCAUGUUCCGACUAAUUCUGCUGCAGCUGCUUCUGGCAGCAGAAUGUGUGAGGUGUGAACAGCUGACACAGCCAUCAUCUUUAGUUUUGCAGCUCGGCCAGCAGCUAGCCAUCGGCUGUCAGGUCUCUUAUUCUGUGGGUGACCAUCACACUCAUUGGAUCAGGCAACCACCAGGAAAAGAGCUGGAGUGGAUUGGAGGGGCUCGUGUUGGAUAUGAAGCAUACCAGAAAAGUUCUCUAAAGAGCAAGUUCAGUUUCAGCUUAGAGUCAUCCAGCAACACAGUGACUCUGAAUGGGCUGAAUAUGCAGCCUGAUGAUACUGCUGUGUACUAUUGUGCCAGACAGUCACACUGAUACAAAUCAUUAGUGCAGCUGUACAAAAACCCCACCGAGUCUGAGCAUAUUAUGAAGCCAGAAGAGGAGGCAUUCUCACCAUACUUACUGUCAGGACUCUGGGUUUUUGGUUUGGUUUUGCUUUUCAUUUUAUUUAGCUUUAUGUUUUAGUUCACUUUAGUUUAGCCCUUCAUUGUCCUUUUGAUAUUAUUAUUUGAUAUAUUUAGUGUAAUUAGAAUUGUCUUAUUGCUUUCCUUAUUUUCAGUCCUUUAUAGUGUUUCUAGUUAGGUUUAUUUUUUAGUUAUCUUAGGUUCUGUCCUUGUUUGUCUGAGUCCAUGUCAAGCCUUCUUUAAUGACUAUAGUUUGUUUCUGUUUUAUCCUUCUAGUAACUUCUUAUUUCAGCCUCCCUGCAGUGUUUCUAGUAAUGUUCAUUUCUUAAUUUUAUGACCCUAGGUUCAGUUAUUUUUUUCAUGUCUUUGUAU